rnacentral:sRNA from 1 species
GCGGAUGCUAACGCAAUGUGAU